UACGUAGGGAGCAAGCGUUGUCCGGAAUCAUUGGGCGUAAAGCGCGCGUAGGUGGCUUCGUAAGUCCGUUGUGAAAGUCAAAGGCUCAACCUUUGAAAGCCGAUGGAUACUGCGGAGCUAGAGUACGGAAGAGGCGAGUGGAAUUCCCGGUGUAGAGGUGAAAUUCGUAGAUAUCGGGAGGAACACCGGUGGCGAAGGCGGCGACCUGGGUAGAUACUGACGCUGAGGUGCGAAAGCGUGGGGAGCAAACGGG
rnacentral:rRNA from 1 species